rnacentral:rRNA from 1 species
UACGUAGGGGGCAAGCGUUGUCCGGAUUUAUUGGGCGUAAAGAGCGCGUAGGCGGCUUGGUAGGUCCGCUGUGAAAACUCGAGGCUCAACCUCGAGACGCCGGUGGAAACCGUCAGGCUAGAGUCCGGAAGAGGAGAGUGGAAUUCCUGGUGUAGCGGUGAAAUGCGCAGAUAUCAGGAAGAACACCGGUGGCGAAGGCGGCUCUCUAGUAAGGUACUGACGCUGAGGCGCGAAAGCGUGGGGAGCGAACAGG